CUCCCACAACUCCCUGCAAAAGCACAUUGCAGGCUUUGUUUGUUUUCAAUAAAAGCUUCUCUUUCCCUUGGAUCAAAGAAAUAAGACACAAAAGAGCACACACAGUAUGACUCUAUUUACAUAAAGUUUAAAGCAGGCAGUAAUAUGCUAUUUGGGUGUAAAAUUAUGAAGAAAGGCAAGGAAAUGAUCAUCACAAAAAUUAAGAUCAUGAUCACUUCUAGGAGAGAGAGUGUUGAGAUAAAGGACUCUUAGCUCAUAUGGUGGGUUUCUGUGAGGCUGGCAAUACUCCAUUUUUGACCUGGGUGGUGGUUACAAAGGUAUUUGCUUAUAAAUUAUUUGUCAGAUUGUAUCUAUGUUUUAUGCACUUUUACAUAUGUAAUAGCCCCAAAUUUUAAAAAUGUUAAUAAAAAGAUAAAGGAAGAAAAAGAACAUCCAGCCUAUUUUUAAAAUGCAUUAUAAUUU
rnacentral:lncRNA from 10 species